rnacentral:lncRNA from 1 species
CCAUGCAAACUAUACUUAACCAUUUUAAACUUACACAAAACUACUUUUAUAAUAAAAGAAAUACAAGAGCAUGCCUUUUUUUUCUUUUUUCUCAAGACAAAAUAGGAGUUUCAGGAUCAAAGGACACGCAACCCACAUAAACUUGAAGAUCAGAAUUAUUACUAGCCAUUGUUAAGGCUAAUACACCUAGUAAAUAUACCUCAAAACAUUAUAGUCAAUCAUCCCAUUGGGAUUACUAUCAAAACAUAGUCAGCUCUUACUCCAGUUUUAAUCAGUACACUUGAUGGGAUUUCAAGAAAGUCAAAUGAGAUUUCUAAAUCUUAUAUUGGCUUCUUUAGCACUUAAAUAGAGAAGAACUAGAAGUCCCCCUAUUCAACAAAGUUUCAGUCCUUUUAACAAACAAAUAAUAUAAAUUAGAGUAGCUACUUGAAACUUCUAAAACUCAAAGGGAAUUAACAACAAAAUGGUCAAAUUUACACAUAAUAGAAACUAAACUAGAAUGCAGAAAUCAGCUAACUUCAUGAGUGCAGAAAUAGCAUUCAACAAACUGAUUUGUUACAAAUUUUCAGCUCAAUCAAACAAGCUUCAUGUUCCUCCACUUUCAUAUGCAAAGAAAUGUCGUGAAUUACUGAAUACAACAAUCAAGCAAAAGAAGAAUAUGAGGUUAAAGAUCAAAAGUUCAACCAACAGCAGCAGUAUUGCAACAACAAUGGAACAAUGCACAGCAAGCUUCAGAUUCUUGACCCCAUUCCAAACUUUGAAAACCCAGAUUGAACUAUUCUAUUGAAAAUCUUAAAAUUCGGAUUUAUCAGAAGAAUUUAGAACUCAAAAACAAGCACACUUCAAGCAAUUUUCAGUACUUUUCACUUGAGAGAACAUUCAUCUGUUUCAUAAAUUUUUGGUGUUUUUCAGUCUCUAAUUUCUUACUUGUGAGUGAAGAAAGAGUGCCUUUAUAGGCAAGCUUAAGGGCAGCAAAGAAUGGAUUCAGUUUUGCACAUUAAACCAUUUGAAAUUUUCAUUUUUGCUGAUGUACCCUUAGUUUAUAAAUCAGUAUUUCAGAUUAGUCCCAAUCCUGAGCUUCUAGGAAGCUUCCUUAUUCAGUUAUUGAAGAUUCCCUAACAAAUGACCAUAAUACCCCUAUUUUUACUUCUGAAACCAGACAAAUAUGGGUCAAAUUGGCCCAUUUCAAAUUGUUAAGGGUCUGUAAAUUCCUGGUUGAAUCCUGUUUCUUGGGCUUCUACUUUUAGAACCCGAGUUCAAACCAGCAAUCAAACCUACAGAGUCCUAAAGUCUCAUAAGUUCUUGAGCUCAAAGAAAAAUAGAAACAAAUAAAGCUCGAACAAAAUCUAACACAGCAACAGAAUCAUGCUUAAUUAAUUAAGAAAAAAAGAACUUAAUACUAGCUGCAUAACAAAAAUGACUUUGAAGAAACUACAAAACAAAAAGAAUCAAGAAGAAGAGAAAGAAGCAGAAGAUAGAAAAAUGAAAGAAGAAAUGAAGCAAAGAUAACAAAAGAAAAGGAAAAAUAACAACAAAGGCUCGGACAAGUAAAGUCUUCAAAUAUUCAAUUUUAAGUCGAGUUUGACAUGAUGAGAACACAUAAUAAAAUCCAAUUAGACUUCAAUUUUCACUGAAAUCUCGAUUUGGGGGGUUUUGGGUUUUUUAGGAUUUUGAUCUACGAUUCGAAGAAACCUAGGGGGAUUCAAGGGGAACCAGUGUUGGACUUGGUGUGAGGGGGCUAUGGGGGUAAUGUUGUGUGGAUUUGGGGUGGAUUGGAUGCGCGCCGCCACCGGAGAUGGCAAGGAUUUUAGUGCGGCGGAUUAGGAUUAUGUUUGGGUGUCUAUGAAGAUGAAAGAGAUUAGGGAGAGGAGUUAUGGGGUAUGGGGGUCAAUCA